GAUGAACGCUAGCGGCAGGCUUAAUACAUGCAAGUCGUGGGGCAGCGCAGGUAGCAAUACUGGGCGGCGACCGGCAAACGGGUGCGGAACACGUACACAACCUUCCGAGAAGUGGGGAAUAGCCCAGAGAAAUUUGGAUUAAUACCCCGUAACAUAACGAUGUGGCAUCACAUUGUUAUUAUAGCUUCGGCGCUUCUUGAUGGGUGUGCGGCUGAUUAGAUAGUUGGCGGGGUAACGGCCCACCAAGUCUACGAUCAGUAGCUGAUGUGAGAGCAUGAUCAGCCACACGGGCACUGAGACACGGGCCCGACUCCUACGGGAGGCAGCAGUAAGGAAUAUUGGUCAAUGGACGCAAGUCUGAACCAGCCAUGCCGCGUGAAGGAUUAAGGUCCUCUGGAUUGUAAACUUCUUUUAUCUGGGACGAAAAAAGGGAAUUCUUUCUCACUUGACGGUACCAGAUGAAUAAGCACCGGCUAACUCCGUGCCAGCAGCCGCGGUAAGAC
rnacentral:rRNA from 1 species